rnacentral:lncRNA from 1 species
UGAGAGCAGAGCGAGCAUCACCUUCUUCAUAAACGCUGGUGCAGUAAUUGUGGAGCUCUAUCACGUGGUUGUGGUCCAUUUCAGCUACCUCAUUCAUUAUUCCUUUAAACCAAUCAAAGGAGCCUUGUUCCCUUGUCACCCAGUAAAAGUAUGCUCUCCUUGUCUUGAAGCUUUCUUUUCUUUUGGAAUUGGGAGGACUCGUUUUGUUAACGCCAUCCGCAUUUCCAUUCUCCAGGGCACUCUCUUCCUCCUCCCUGGCCCUGAUGUUGUUCACUAUGUCCUUGACAAUGCUGAUCAUUGGGGUUGCUCCAAUC